GACCAACCUGUCUGAAGUGUACUCUACCUCUUCCCUAAUACUCUGGAGAUGGGCACCAGCUCCAUGUGACCCUGGAGAGGAACAAUUAGCAAAAGAUUAAUGAAAAGACUGAAGUGACAUUUUCAGCAGGAAAGACAUUGWUCCAAAGGCUUUCUGAAGAUUCUCAUUGUCCUGUUUACCCUGCAAACAUUGGACGACAGGGAGGAAAUAGAUCAGAAGUCAGAGGCCCAUUCUGUCCAAGCUGCUGCCUGUCCUUGGAUGGAAUUUUUUUGUGCCAUCGAAAGAGGGAACUAAAGGAAMUGAAGCCGCAGAGAAGUUUCUCCGGCAGUAACCAGUCUGCCGUCACUCCCCUGCGAAUAGAUGGAGUCUAAUUGAUGUUUGUGUAUGUGCACCUGCUUGUGUGCAGUUCAAGUCACUGUACUCUCCAAAGGCUCAUUAAUUAUAGUUGGAGCCAUUAUGGAGAUAAGUGUGAGCUUGACUAUUGGAGCUGACGAUAGGAAGAAAAAUUACCUGUUUUGGAGCUUCUUCUCUCUAAUCAGCUGCCCAUUAGCAACACUGAGGGACUUCUAUUAUCGCCUUUUGUUCUUCCAUGUCUUUUUCUUUUCGAUUUCUGUUUGGCAUUUCUCCAUCGUUCAGUGCAUCCUCACGAGUGUGUGCACGCGCCCGUGUGURUGUUUCCCCAUUAUAAUCCGAGGCACAUGAUAAUGAGCCAAUAUUCAUGCAAUCUGGAGCACUUUGUACAUAUCAUCCUUGUGAGGACAAACCAUCACUUAAUGUGACUUUAUAUCUUUUAAAGAGAGGUUCUGUGGAAAGGAUACAAACAAUUAAUAUUUUACGUAUGGCAGAUUGUGUAUUUUAUUCCAUGAUUAAACAAAUGACUACAAUUGACAGCUGGGGGAUUAUUUGCACAAUGAUAGCACAGUUCGGACAGUCUUGUAAUCCUUUGUCAGAGUAUCAACAAUACUAAUAUUAUCUCUGAGGGGAAAAUGAGGGGAAAAACAUUGGACAUUGUCUUCACUAAAGACUGUUUUCAUAACAUUGGUAGAUAUUCUGAGUAAACAGGGGUUUUAUGACUAAGCAAAAUAAUAUUAUUCAAACUAAAUAUCACUUUAGUAUCAUUUUCUUUGGUGCCCACAACAGCUCUUUGUUUUUCCAAACUGAGAUCAUUAAGAGGCUAGUUCUGACCAGAUGGAUGAGGUAAUGGUUCACUUGAUGGGCAAUACGACCAAGUUGCUGCUGGCCUGCAAUUAUUCCAGCCUCAAACUUUUUUUCUUUACUGCGUUACGCAAUUGUUUGUUUGAAAGACUUUACAUUGUCAAUUUUGCAUUGUGCAGUUAUUUACAAAUAAUUCUWGGAGAGUUACAAGCAACAAGCUGUAGCCUUCUGGUACAGCCUGGGGCAUUUUUUUCAAAAUAAUAUUUCUGGCAGAAUAACUAUGAGGUGCAAGACUGAUGGCUUUGUAAAGAUUUGCAAAAUAGUGUUUGCAUAAACUAUUUUGGACUGAAGCCAUUUUAAGAUGGCAGAUUUGGAUUAAAAAUUAUAUUACUGAUACCAUCAUAGUAUGCCAUUGAAAUAAUUCAUGUUGUAGAUUUAAAGAUGUCAUAUCUUCUUAGAUAAAAAUGUU